AUCUAAAAAUUAUUCAUGUUUCCCACCUCACCAAAAUCAUCCCCGCCCAAAUUUUCCCAAUUUUAUCAAAAACCCAAAUCCCCCCUAAUCCUUAAAACCUAAACUGAGAAUUUGCCCUCCAACAUCCCUCUCUCUGUCUCGCUAUCAAUCCACCAACAAUAAGCAUUGAUUAUUCAAGAUCUCCGUGACCUACAGCUUCCAGCAGUGGUGUUGCUCAAGCGCUAAGAAUUGUCUCUUGAAUUCUAUUUGUUAUUCUUAUUCUUUGAUUGAAAUAUGUGCAUAAUUUUGUAAUCUACACUAGUGUUAGGGUUUCAAUCUGCAAAAAUCGACUCCAUCUGCUGUACGACAUCUUUCUGUCUCCAAGGCAAUAGAUCUCAGAUCCAAACGUAAACCAAACACCUCUGCUCGUGCUAUCAAUUGAAGAAUCGGUGGUGGUGCUUCUAGGAGCGUGGACAAGCAUAUUUAUCAAGGUGCGAAGUUGAUUUGGAUUCAAAAGGUGAAAAGAUGCAUCAAGGAGUUGAAAAAUUCAUCGAAGCAGAACAGAGAAGAAAAACGUCUGGUGUUUGUUGGUGGGUCACUGGUGUUUGGAGCUGUUUGACCGGAAACCGGAUGUCAGGCAUGUUUACCAAAUCACACUGGGAAAAAGAAAAUUACCGUUGAAGACCGCGAUGUGCGUGCCUAAACCUAUUAAGAUAUAAGACUUCCAGUGAUGCCAAAUAUCCAGGUAAAAAGCGUCCUUGUUCUUGUUAUUGCCAUGUGUGGUCUUUUUUCACUUUUUUUUGACGAGGCCUAUGAAAUUGGUUUAAGUGAGUGAUGAUUGUAGUCUUCUGAAUAGCUUCAAUUUUCGGAGAUUUCUAAUAGCUAUUUAGGAUCGUAAAUGAACAAUAAUAAAUUCAUAUUACAUGCUACACAUUUGAUUCUUGAAACAAUUCUUAUUGCCGAACUUUGGUUGUUGAGUGGUAGUUUCCUUAGUAACGCAGGUGCAUAUACUGUAUUUUUACUUACACCAUCAGCUUGCCACUCACUUCAUUUCUAUAAUAUCAAUCCAGAUGUUAAAAGGUUUUGGAGCUUCUCCUUUAGUCUUAUAUGUUAGCCACUUUAGGAUAUGUUAAGUUUCAUGAGGUUUUUUAUAGUUCAUUUAUUACUGUAAUUAUAAUAUAGGUGAUAUCGCUACACCUGCCCUCUGGUGAUACAUCAAUCGAGAGAACAAUACAGAUAGAUAGAACAAGUGAUCAGAUUAAGGCUGGAAAAACAAAUGGUUAACGAAGUAACAAUAAGAAUCGUGCAAGGAAUCCAAUGGGGGCGGAUACUCUCAGCAAAGUUAUCAAGCCCAGCCGGUGUGCCAUAACAGUCGGAUUCUAUAGUUGAGUACAUUGAAGUUGAAGAGAAACUGCUGGCCUAAAAACCAAAAACUUGGACUUUGUGCAGGCUGCUAGUCUCCCUCAUGCAAUUGAGACCAUGUAUAAUGGUCUAGAGUGAGCCAGUUUAUCAGAAGGUAAAUCCCUCCUUGUCUUAAAUGGUGCUGGCGAAGUGGGAUCGCUCGUGAUUCAGGUCAUUAUCCUGCUGAUUUAGUUACCUGCUGCAAUUGAUGGGGCUAGUUACCUGCUGAAGUUGAUGGGGCUGGUAUGUGCUAUUGUUGGCACAUAUACAUCGCUUGCAAGCAUGCAUGCUAGCAAUAACCCAAUUUCUACUGCUGUAUAGAAUUAAACCCCAGCAGCACCUGUUCCAGCAAAGGUAAACAAGGCUUGAUCUGUCAUGUUUAUCUAUUGUCACAGUGGUAUUGAAUCAGACAAGGAGCAAGAAAAAGAAAGAAGCAUGAAAAAGUUUUUAGUUUGUGUACAGUCGUUUCCCUUUGAAACUUUUGUAGAUAACUUUUGAUUAGAAGUUUAUGUUUUAGUAUUUAAAUUGAAAACUUAUGUAUGGAUUUGUGCUUAUUAUUGUUAAUAUAAUUUGGUUUUUUGGGUU